rnacentral:sRNA from 1 species
GUGAAGCCAGCAAGAGCAGCCAGCCAACAGCAGCAGCUGUGGCCUGCAACUUAUGCAAGCAUCGAAGCACACAUUGAGCCAAAUUUCGAGACCCACAAAUAGAGCCAGCCAGGUCGUCCAAGUUGACAAAGCCGAAAUCAUAAGCAUAACACACAAGCUCUAGCUAAAACAACGAAGCUCCGUCGAACUGACAGCAAACAAAUAACUUGGGCAACGAACUUGAGAGCGAUGCUGAUACACUUGAAAGAAAGCCGCGAAUAUGAGCGGAAAUAGCAUGGAAGGAAGCAACAUUUAACUGAAGUUUCCACUGUUGCCACAUUUUGGCACAAACACAUGGUUAAUUUAUUGAAAAUUUCCACUUUGACUAAAGGAAAGCAGAUAGCUAAUUGAGAAAAGCUCCAGAACCCAUUGGGGCUGCAAAGUCUUGGAAGCACAGAAUAUUUAAGAAUUUUAAAUUAUGCCGAAAAUCUUUUGUAGCUUAAGUUUUUACAAUACUUGAUAAACUUGAAGCUAAGACAUCCCAAAGGAUUUUUUGUUCGCAAGCUUGGAUCUCAAGAUCCACUUAGUUGACGCACAUCUUGUAAUGUUUUUAAAACAACUGACCCUAUUAAAAGCGAAAAUAUCAUUA